rnacentral:ncRNA from 1 species
CUCCCGAAAAGGCACGGUCGACCGAAAGGUCGGCUUCGCAAAAUCACGGGUCUACCGGAAGCCUCGCUUCCCACGACAGCCGGAUUGCCGAA